rnacentral:rRNA from 1 species
GAUGAACGCUGGCGGCGUGCCUAAUACAUGCAAGUCGAGCGAACAGACGAGGAGCUUGCUCCUCUGGCGUUAGCGGCGGACGGGUGAGUAACACGUGGAUAACCUACCUAUAAGACUGGGAUAACUUCGGGAAACCGGAGCUAAUACCGGAUAAUAUAUUGAACCGCAUGGUUCAAUAGCGAAAGACGGUUUUGCUGUCACUUAUAGAUGGAUCCGCGCCGCAUUAGCUAGUUGGUAAGGUAACGGCUUACCAAGGCAACGAUGCGUAGCCGACCUGAGAGGGUGAUCGGCCACACUGGAACUGAGACACGGUCCAGACUCCUACGGGAGGCAGCAGUAGGGAAUCUUCCGCAAUGGGCGAAAGCCUGACGGAGCAACGCCGCGUGAGUGAUGAAGGUCUUCGGAUCGUAAAACUCUGUUAUUAGGGAAGAACAAAUGUGUAAGUAACUAUGCACGUCUUGACGGUACCUAAUCAGAAAGCCACGGCUAACUACGUG